UACGAAGGGGGCGAGCGUUGUUCGGAUUUACUGGGCGUAAAGGGCGCGUAGGCGGCCAGCACAAGUCAGUUGUGAAAUCUCCGAGCUUAACUCGGAACGGUCAACUGAUACUGUGCGGCUAGAGUGCAGAAGGGGCAACUGGAAUUCUUGGUGUAGCGGUGAAAUGCGUAGAUAUCAAGAGGAACACCUGCGGCGAAGGCGGGUUGCUGGGCUGACACUGACGCUGAGGCGCGAAAGCUAGGGGAGCGAACGGG
rnacentral:rRNA from 1 species